GCACCACGAGGCGUUGUCGGCGAGUCGGGUUGUUUGGGAAUGCAGCCCUAAUCGGGUGGUAAAUUCUGUCCAAGGCUAAAUACGGGCGAGAGACCGAUAGCGAACAAGCACCGAAAGGGAAAGAUGAAAAGGACUUUGAAAAGAGAGUUAAAGAGUGCUUGAAAUUGCCGGGAGGGAAGCGGAUGGAGGCCGGCGAUGCAUCUCUGUCGGAUGCGGAACGACUCAAGCUGGUCCGCCGCUCGACUCGAGGUGUGAACCAGCACAGGCCAUUGCAUUGGCACAAGCACGGGUGGAGUACUGCCUGUUGGUUUGUCGUUGUGGCGGUCAAGGAACGAAGCGUGCGCCCUUGGGGCGGGACACUAUGCACCUGCACGCUCGUGGUGUUGGUUGGCGGGCUUUCCAUUCGACCCAUCUUGAAACACAGACCAAGGAGUCUAACAUGUGUGCGAGUCGGUGGGUUUGUAAACCUGAGAGGCGUAAGGAAGCUAACGGGCGAGAACCCCUCUCCAUGGGGUGCAUUGUCGAUCGACCUUGAGCUUGUGCGAAGGGUUCGAGUGCAAGCACACCUGUUGGGACCCGAAAGAUGGUGAACUAUGCCUGAGCAGGGUGAAGCCAGAGGAAACU
rnacentral:ncRNA from 1 species